CGAGUUUGAUCCUAGCUCAGAAUUAACGCUAGAAAUAUACAUUACACAUGCAAAUUAAUGAUAAUAUCAUAGUGUAUAGGUGAGGAUAUAUAAAUUUUUAAUUUUAAAUAGAUUAUAAAUUUUAUUAAAUAAUAAUCUAUAAGCGCAAAAAUAUAUGUACUAUAUUAAAAAUUAAUAUUAUUUAAAAUAAAAUUUAUAUUUGAUUAACUAGUUGGUAAUUUAAAAGACUACCAAGGUUAUUAUCAAAAAUUGGUUUGAAAGAAUGUACAAUCACAUUAGGAUUGAAAUAAAGCCUAAUUUUUAAACUACCAAGGUUAUUAUCAAAAAUUGGUUUGAAAGAAUGUACAAUCACAUUAGGAUUGAAAUAAAGCCUAAAUUUUUAUAAAAAAUCAGCAGUGAGGAAUAUUUUACAAUAAGUGUAAGCUUGAUAAAGUAAUAUUUCUUUUAGGAAGACAGUAUUAUUAAAAUAUUGUAAACUUUUUAUUUUAUUUUUAAAUAUUGAUAAAAAUAAAAAAUAGUAUUUGCUAAUUUCUGUGCCAGCAGCAGCGGUAAUACAGAAAAUGCAAGCGUUAUUCAUUUUAUUAGGCGUAAAGCGUUUUAAGGUUUUAUAUUAAUUUUAUGUUUAAAUAUUUAAAUUAAAUUUAAAAUAAAUUAAUAAAUAAUAAUAUAAUAGAGUAUUAUAAAAGUAUUAAGAAUUUUUUGAGAAGUAGUGAAAUACAAUGAUACAAAAAAGAAUAUCAAAGGCGAAAGCAUAAUACUAUAUAAUUACUGACACUUAAAAACGAAAGCUAAGGUAGCAAAUAGGAUUAGAUACCCUAGUAGUCUUAGCUGUAAACUAUGAAUAUUUUAUAUUUAUAUUUUAUAAAUAUAAUAACUAACGUGAUAAAUAUUCCGCCUGAGUAGUAUAUUCGCAAGAAUGAAAUUCAAAGGAAUUGACGGGAGCUUAUACAAGUGGUGGAACAUGUGGCUUAAUUCGAUGCAACACGAUAAACCUUACCAAAAUUUAACAAUAUUUUUAAUAUUAAGAAAUUAAUAUUUUAAUAAAAUAUAUAGGUAGUGCAUGGCUGUCGUCAGUUCGUGCUGUGAAGUGUUAAUUUUAGUAUUAUAACGAACGUAACCUUUUAUAAAAAAAAUUUUUAUAAUAAAUAAUAAUAAAGAUUACGUCAAGUCAUUAUGCUCCUUAUAUUUUGGGCUGCUCACGUGUUACAUAAAAUAUUACAAUAUUUUAUUAUAUGUUAAAUAUAAUAAUUAAAAUAUAUUUAUAGUUCAGAUUAUAAAUUGAAACUCAUUUAUAUAAAGAUGGAAUCACUAGUAAUCGCUAAUCAGAAUUAUAGCGGUGAAUAAGUUCUUAAGCUUUGUACACACCGCCCGUCACAUCUAAAAAGUAUCAUAUUAUAUAAAAAUUAUUGUUAAAUAAUAAUAUAUAAUUAUAUAAUUUAGAUGAAGUCGUAACAAGGUAGCCGUACUGGAAGGUGCGGCUG
rnacentral:rRNA from 1 species